rnacentral:rRNA from 1 species
UGGGGAAUAUUGCACAAUGGGCGCAAGCCUGAUGCAGCAACGCCGCGUGAGGGAUGACGGCCUUCGGGUUGUAAACCUCUUUUAGUAGGGAAGAAGCGAAAGUGACGGUACCUGCAGAAAAAGCACCGGCUAACUACGUGCCAGCAGCCGCGGUAAUACGUAGGGUGCGAGCGUUGUCCGGAAUUAUUGGGCGUAAAGAGCUCGUAGGCGGUCUGUCGCGUCUGCUGUGAAAACCCGAGGCUCAACCUCGGGCCUGCAGUGGGUACGGGCAGACUAGAGUGCGGUAGGGGAGAAUGGAAUUCCUGGUGUAGCGGUGGAAUGCGCAGAUAUCAGGAGGAACACCGAUGGCGAAGGCAGUUCUCUGGGCCGUAACUGACGCUGAGGAGCGAAAGCGUGGGGAGCGAACAGGAUUAGAUACCCUGGUAGUCCACGCCGUAAACGUUGGGCGCUAGAUGUGGGGACCAUUCCACGGGUUUCCGUGUC